rnacentral:rRNA from 1 species
GUGUCAGCCGCCGCGGUAAUACAGAGGGUGCGAGCGUUGUCCGGAAUCACUGGGCGUAAAGGGCGCGUAGGUGGCGCUCCAAGUCUGUGGUGAAAGCUCGAUGCUCAACAUCGAGUCGGCCACGGAGACUGGAGGGCUCGAGCACUGUAGGGGCAGAUGGAAUUCCGGGUGUAGCGGUGGAAUGCGUAGAGAUCCGGAAGAACACCGGUGGCGAAGGCGGUCUGCUGGGCAGUUGCUGACACUGAGGCGCGACAGCGUGGGGAGCAAACAGGAUUAGAAACCCUCGUAGUCC